rnacentral:rRNA from 1 species
GAUGAACGCUGGCGGCGUGCCUAAUACAUGCAAGUCGAGCGAACGGACGAGAAGCUUGCUCCCCUGAUGUUAGCGGCGGACGGGUGAGUAACACGUGGAUAACCUACUUAUUAGACUGGGAGAACUUCGUGAAACCGUAGCUAAUACCGGAUAAUAUUUUGAACCGCAUGGUUCAAAAGUUAAAGACGGUUUUGCCGACACUAAUAGAUGGUUCCGCGCUGCAUUAGCUAGUUGGUAAGGUAACGGCUUACCAAGGCAACGAUGCGUAGCCGACCUGAGAGGAUGAUCGGCCACACUGGAACUGAGACACGGUCCAGACUCCUACGGGAGGCAGCAGUGGGGAAUCUUCGGCAAUGGGCGAAAGCCUGACGGAGCAACACCGCGUGGGUGAUGAAGGUCUUCGGGUCGUAAAACUCUGUUAUUGGGGAAGAACAGAUGUGUAAGUAACUGUGCACGUCUUGACGGUACCUAAUCAGAAAGCCACGGCUAACUACGUG